GUUACUGCUAUCGGAGUUCGAUUAAGCCAUGCGAGUCUAAAGGUUUCUUCGGAAGCCUUGGCGGACUGCUCAGUAACACGUGGAUAACCUGCCCUUAGAUCUGGCAUAACCCCGGGAAACUGGGGAUAAUACCGGAUAGAUCAGGGGUCGCUGGAAUGCGCCCUGAUCCAAAGCUCCGGCGCCUAAGGAUGGGUCUACGACCUAUCAGGUUGUAGUGGGUGUAACGUACCUACUAGCCGACGACGGGUACGGGUUGUGAGAGCAAGAGCCCGGAGAUGGAUUCUGAGACACGAAUCCAGGCCCUACGGGGUGCAGCAGGCGCGAAACCUUUACAAUGUGCGAAAGCAUGAUAAGGGAACUCCGAGUGCCAGCAUUAAAUGUUGGCUGUCCUUGUGCCUAAAACGCACAAGAUAGCAAGGGCCGGGUAAGACCGGUGCCAGCCGCCGCGGUAACACCGGCGGCCCGAGUGGUAGCCGCUAUUAUUGGGUCUAAAGGGUCCAUAGCCGGUUCGAUAAGUCCUCUGGGAAAUCUGGUUGCUUAACAAUCAGACUGCCAAGGGAUACUGUCGAACUUGAGACCGGGAGAGGUAAGAGGUACUUCAGGGGUAGGAGUGAAAUCUUGUAAUCCCUGGGGGACCAUCUGUGGCGAAGGCGUCUUACCAGAACGGGUCUGACGGUGAGGGACGAAAGCUGGGGGCGCAAACCGGAUUAGAUACCCGGGUAGUCCCAGCCGUAAACGAUGCUCGCUAUGUGUCAGGUACGGUGUGACCGUAUCUGGUGCCGUAGGGAAGCCGUGAAGCGAGCCACCUGGGAAGUACGGUCGCAAGACUGAAACUUAAAGGAAUUGGCGGGAGAGCACUACAACGGGUGGAGCCUGCGGUUU
rnacentral:rRNA from 1 species